UUGACCUCAAAUCAGGUAGGACUACCCGCUGAACUUAAGCAUAUCAAUAAGCGGAGGAAAAGAAACUAACAAGGAUUCCCCUAGUAACUGCGAGUGAAGCGGGAAAAGCUCAAAUUUAAAAUCUGGCGGUCUUGCGGCCGUCCGAGUUGUAAUCUGGAGAAGCGUUUAUCCACGUCGGACCGUGUACAAGUCUUCUGGAAGGGAGCGUCGUAGAGGGUGAGAAUCCCGUCUUUGACACGGACAACCGGUGCUUUUGUGAUGCGCUCUCGAAGAGUCGAGUUGUUUGGGAAUGCAGCUCAAAAUGGGUGGUAAAUUCCAUCUAAAGCUAAAUAUUGGUC
rnacentral:rRNA from 1 species